rnacentral:lncRNA from 1 species
AAAAAAUUUGUAGCAAAUCAUUUGACAAUUCAUUUCACCACCUAUAAAAUAAGGUGUUUGGCCUAGAAUAUCUCUAAGGUUCCUUAUAAUCUAAUAUGGCAUAUUUUGCUUUGUUUUUUUUUUUUGCAUAUUUUGCUUUGAAUGAUGAAUUAUUAUUUGCUCAGUCACUAGACAAUGAUUUUAGUAUUUACGCUCUGGCCAUUGUGCCAUCACUGGACAUAGAGUGGGGAACAGGAAAAAUAUGAUUGUUCAUUCACCUAGUUUAUUGUCAAUUGGAGAAAUCAAGGGUGGGCACUGCUUGCUAUAACCAAUCAACUGCACAAAAAUGAUGAACAUGUACCUGUUAGGACAAAGACAGUUUUCUCUGCUCGAGACAGAUAAGCUCCAUUUUUGUUGUUGUUAAAGUAAUAAGGCUUUCCCUGUUACUUUGCAAAACAAUUGGAGAUCUAACUCAGAACGCUUCAAUGAAGUCCUGAAUUCCCUGAAAUCAGAUGGCCGCUAGUCACUCCCAGGAUGCUGGAAUGGUAUUAAAAUAUUGCCUCUUGGCCGGGUGCAGUGGCUCAUGCUGUAAUCCCAGCACUUUGGGAGCCCACGGCGGGUGGAUCACUUGAGGUCGGUAGUUCAAGACCAGCCUGGGCAACAUGGUGAAACCCCAUCUCUACUAGAAAUACAAAAAUUAGCCAGGAGUGGUGGCACAGGCCUGUAAUCCCAAUGGGAGGCUAAAGCAGGAGAAUCGCUUGAACCCGG